AUUGAACGCUGGCGGCAGGCCUAACACAUGCAAGUCGAACGAGUGGCGUACGGGUGAGUAAUGUCUGGGAAACUGCCUGAUGGAGGGGGAUCACUACUGGACACGGUAGCUAAUACCGCAUACCUUCCGCUUUUCCCCGAUGGGAUUAGCUAGUUGGUGGGGUAACGGCUCACCAAGGCGACGAUCCCUAGCUGGGCUGAGAGGAUGACCAGCCACACUGGAACUGAGAAACGGUCCAGACUCCUACGUGAGGCAGCAGUGGGGAAUAUUGCACAAUGGGCGCAAGCCUGAUGCAGCCAUGCCGCGUGUAUGAAGAAGGCCUUCGGGUUGUAAAGUACUUUCAGCGGGGAGGCGUUACCCGCAGAAGAAGCACCGGCUAACUCCGUGCCAGCCGCCGCGGUAAUAC
rnacentral:rRNA from 1 species